AGUAAGUGCUCUUUGAAGAGCUCUGUCUUCAGGAGUUUAUUAAAGAUAGUUAGAGAUUCUCCUGAUCUGGUAGUAGAAGGUAGUUAGUUAGAGGUGUUAGGAGAGUAAGAGCUCUUUGAAGAGCUCUAAAGUGUCUUCAGGAGUUUAUUAAAGAUAGUGAGAGAUUCUCCUGAUCUGGUAGUAGAAGGUAGUUAGUUAGAGGUGUUAGGAGAGUAAGUGCUCUUUGAAGAGCUCUGUCUUCAGGAGUUUAUUAAAGAUAGUGAGAGAUGCUCCUGAUCUGGUAGUAGAAGGUAGUUAGUUAGAGGUGUUAGGAGAGUAAGUGCUCUUUGAAGAGCUCUGUCUUCAGGAGUUUAUUAAAGAUAGCGAGAGAUUCUCCUGAUCUGGUAGUAGAAGGUAGUUAGUUAGAGGUGUUAGGAGAGUAAGUGCUCUUUGAAGAGCUCUGUCUUCAGGAGUUUAUUAAAGAUAGUGAGAGAUUCUCCUGAUCUGGUAGUGGAAGGUAGUUAGUUAGAGGUGUUAGGAGAGUAAGUGCUCUUUGAAGAGCUCUGUCUUCAGGAGUUUAUUAAAGAUAGUGAGAGAUUCUCCUGAUCUGGUAGUGGAAG